GGAGGAAAAGAAACCAACAGGGAUUGCCCCAGUAACGGCGAGUGAAGCGGCAACANGCNAAAUUUGAAAUCUGGCCCCCAGGGCCCGAGUUGUAAUUUGCAGAGGAUGCUUUUGGCGCGGUGCCUUCCGAGUUCCCUGGAACGGGACGCCAUAGAGGGUGAGAGCCCCGUCUGGUCGGACGCCUAGCCUGUGUAAAGCUCCUUCGACGAGUCGAGUAGUUUGGGAAUGCUGCUCUAAAUGGGAGGUAUAUGUCUUCUAAAGCUAAAUACCGGCCAGAGACCGAUAGCGCACAAGUAGAGUGAUCGAAAGAUGAAAAGCACUUUGAAAAGAGGGUUAAAUAGUACGUGAAAUUGUUGAAAGGGAAGCGCUUGUGACCAGACUUGGGCCCGGUGGAUCAUCCAGCGUUCUCGCUGGUGCACUCCGCCGGGUUCAGGCCAGCAUCAGUUCGCCGC
rnacentral:rRNA from 1 species